rnacentral:rRNA from 1 species
UCCGUAGGGUCCGAGCGUUGUCCGGAAUUAUUGGGCGUAAAGGGCUCGUAGGCGGUUUGUCACGUCGGGAGUGAAAACUCAGGGCUCAACCCUGAGCGUGCUUCCGAUACGGGCAGACUAGAGGUAUGCAGGGGAGAACGGAAUUCCUGGUGUAGCGGUGGAAUGCGCAGAUAUCAGGAGGAACACCGGUGGCGAAGGCGGUUCUCUGGGCCGAUAUUGACGCUGAGGAGCGAAAGCGUGGGGAGCAAACAGG